rnacentral:rRNA from 1 species
GCUGAUACACCACACACACAAAUAUCCACAUAAUAUUAAACAAACCAUUUGACAAACCUAGUAGAUGCGAUCGAACAGCAAACAAUCCACAAAGUACCGCAAGGGAACACCCACCAAAGCACUAAGAAGCAAAGAUAAACCCUUGUACCUUUCGCAUCAUGGUUUAGCAAGCAAACCAAGGGCAAGAAGAAUCUAAGCCCACACCCCCGAAACCAGAUGAGCUACUUUCAAGCAGCCUACCGGGCACACCCUUCUCUGUGGCAAAAGAGUGGGAAGACUUAAAAGUAGAAGUGAAACGCUUACCGAAUCUGGAGAUAGCUGGCUACCUAAAAAGGAAUCUUAGUUCCACUUUAGACCUAAAACAUACAUAAUUAUCACCUAAAGACAAUCAAUAGGGGUACAGCUCUAUUGAAACAGGAAACAACCUGAAUUUGAGAAAAACUACCUCACCUUAACCAGUAGGCCUUAAAGCAGCCACCAAAUAAAAUAUCGUUAAAGAAUUAACACUUAUAAUCCCAAAACCAACCCAAAACUCCAAACAAACUAAAGGUGAAUCCAUAGUCAUGGAUACCACCAUGCUAAAACUAAUAAUAAGACAACCUCUCUAUACGCACCUUUCCUCUAGAAACGGAAAACCCACUAGACAUUAACAGACCACAAUAGGAAACAACUAAACAAUACCCACCUUCACUCAAACUGUGACACCAACACAGGCGCGUCAAAAAGAAAGAUUAACCAUUAUAAAAGGAACUCGGCAACCAAGAACCCCAACUGUUUAACAAAAACAUAACCUUUAGCCAAACAAAUAUUAAAGGCAACGCCUGCCCAGUGAACAAUUAAACGGCCGCGGUACCCUAACCGUGCAAAGGUAGCAUAAUCAUUUGUCUAUUAACUGUAGACCUGUAUGAAAGGCAAAAUGAGGGCUCAACUGUCUCUUAUAAUAAAUCUAUUAAACUGAUCUUCUAGUAAAAAAGCUAGAAUACCACCAUAAGACCAGAAGACCCUGUGAAGCUUAAACUAAAAUAUUAAACCCAAUAAUAACUACUUUCGGUUGGGGCGACCUUGGAAAUAAAAAGAACUUCCAAAAAACAUGUAAUACCACAUACAACCACAGGCCCACAAGCCAUUAAAUGACCCAGACAUCUGAUAAUUGAACAAAGUUACUCCAGGGAUAACAGCGCCAUCUUCUUCAAGAGCCCAUAUCAAAAAGAAGGUUUACGACCUCGAUGUUGGAUCAGGACACCCCAAUGGUGCAGCCGCUAUUAAAGGUUCGUUUGUUCAACGAUUAAUGUCCUACGUGAUCUGAGUUCAGACCGGAGCAAUCCAGGUCGGUUUCUAUCUAUGACGCACUUGCACCUAGUACGAAAGGACCGGUGUAAUAAAGCCAAUACUACAAGCAUGCUUUCACAACACCACAACAAAUAACCGCACAACCUACAACCAAGACAAGGUUAAUUAAGGAU